UAUUUCUAUUUUCAUAGCUUGGGGCUGUUUGGUUUUCCAAUUUCCUAUGUAAUGCAAAGUAAAUGAGCCAUCAUUAUCAUUUUCAAUUGUUUUUUUUAAUAAGGAAUUACAGCUCAUAAAAAGGAGAUAUGUAAAGGAGAUUGUAAUCAUUACAUUUUCACAUUAUAAAAUUACCAUUUUUACAGUGAUUUCUGGGUGAAACAAACAACGUAGCAAAAUCAUCAUUGCAGUCAAAUGUAAGUGAUGUCACCACACAAUUACAAGAAAUCAUUACCCAUUUAUACCCAUUCACCAUUUAAUUGGAAAACCAAAUAGGCCCUUGAUGCUUUUCCCUUUUGCAAUGGAGCCUCACAGUUGUCGUUAUUGACGAUGAUCCUGUAACUGUUUUUUUUGCUUGAUUUUCGGAUACAUGUUAUUAAUUGUGUAAAGAAGGGUCAUAUUCUAGCAGCACAAUCUGUCUAGUUUCUUCUGUGAAUUGUGGAGGUUUUCUUUUGUAUUUGGCAAAAUUCAUGGCAUUUUGUAUCUUCGAUCUAAUUGUUUCUUCCAUGUGAGAACAAAGGGAAAUGAAUUGGGCUGACACUUAUAGAGUGUGUUUGGAUACUGGGAAUCCCUAUGGAAAUGGAAUUCUCUGGCACAAGAAAUAAGGAGAUCAUGGAAUCCACUUUCUAUUCUCUGACCGUUGUCUAACGAAUUUGAGGAUUCUACUUUCUGGUUGCUAUCCAAACGGGCACCUCAUUUUUGUCAUCCUAUUCCAACAGUGAUCAUGGAAUCCAAAUGGAAACCACGUAUCCAAACAUACCUUUACGUGAAAGGUGUCGGGUGAAUCUUUUUAAGGGGAAUGUUGCCCCUGCCUUGACAUUUCCAUUGUUUUUGCAACAGAAUAUUUCAUUGCUUCGAACAGUCUGUAUUGUAAUUAUCAAUUCACAGUUCUUUACAUAUAUAUGCCCUUUGACCAGUUCUCACUUUGUGGAUAUGAAAGGUCAGUUUUUCAGGGAGAUGGAAUCCCUCAACAAAUGCAGAUGACAGUUUGCAUCAAAAGGUCACAAAAUCCAUAUGGAAUUACAAUUUAUUUCUUGCCUUGAAGAUGUUUCUUAUUGUGAUUUGUAAGUGAAUGGAGCAUGUUUCUUACCUUGAUUUCAUUACAUGCCACAUGGCAUCUAUGUAAAGAAAAUUUACUGGUUUUGUGGGUUCGUCGACUAUGAGCUUGAUCCAAGGUCACACUGACCUUAGCCAUCCAUUUGAGCAUGGCCCAAAAGUAACCCUGUCUUAGCCAUUCAUUAGGGGACUAUGAGUGGUCUCUGCUGUUAGCAGUAUGUAGAUUGGUGUGGGUUCGUGGCUGCAAGCAAACGAGGAGGAAGCGCAUGUGGCCCUAGGCACAUUGAUGUUUUACUCUGUUAUGGUCCGUGGCUUAAACAGUGGGGACCAAACCAUUUAGGUUAGUCAAGUGGGUCUAUUUUAUGCGUCAUCAACUGGUGGGCCAAACCAUUUGAGUCAGCAGAGUGGGCGUCAUAACUCCACUUAAGAUCUAUGGUUAUCUUGGAACUUUAGUUCGAAUUCUAAAUUAAAAAUAGUAGUCCAACAAUCAAAGUUUGAAUCUGAAUUUAAAUUUGAAUUUUGAAUUUGAAUUAUGUGGAAUGCAAUUAAUGAAAAGGAGACAGUUUCUUUAACAAUCUUUUGCUUGAUUGCAAAGAGGGGCUGUCUAUCUUCAAAUUUGCA